ACCUCAGCGAGCUCCUCCAUGGACUCACAGAAUCCCGGGAUAUCUGGAGCUGGAAGUGACCCCCAAGGAUCACGGAGUCCAACUCCUGGCCCUGCACAGGCCCAGCCCCAAGAGUCACCCCCUGUGUCCCAGAGGAUCAUCCAAACCCUCCUGGAGCUCUGGCAGCCUUGGGGCCGUGCCCACUGCCCUGGGGAGCCUGGGCAGUGCCCACCACCCUCUGGGGGAAGAACCUUGUCCUGAGAUCCCCCCUGAGCCUGCCCUGUCCCAGCUCCAGCCCUUCCCUGGCUCCUGUCCCUGUCCCAGAGAGCAAAGAUCAGCUCAGUGGAGCCUGUUUGGCCCUUGGGGACUCAGUUCCUGGAGUGAUGUCCAUCCUGUCCUUGCCUGGCCAUGGACACCUUUCCUGCAGUGUCCUGGGCUCCCCCUGUGUGCUCCCACCUCCUAAACUCCGGGAAUGUUUCUACAACCAACAGCAGUUUCAGUGCAUGUUCAAAUUCUCUUUUUAUCCGUAUUUGCUGACACCCAGAAGACUCCUUUCUUUGAGCAGGGAGCAUCUCAUGAACAAUUCUGAAGAACCUUUUUCUCAGAAACCCUGACAUCCUUCUCCAGCCCUGAAGCCAGGGAGUUUCUCCAGGAGUUUCUCCAGGAGUUUCUCCAGAAGUUUCUGCAGGGGAUCAGCCAACACAUCCAUAUCUUCGUGGUCUGCUGUUAUAUUUUGGAGCUGUGGAUCCCUGAGAUCUCAUCUGGAGAUCCCAUCACAGCAGCCUCCCCGGGUUGCUGCUUUGAAGCUGCACCUGGUGGUUCUGAGUCACCCAGGUGGGCAGGGAAAGAGCUGGGAAAGAGCUGGAAUGUGCAUCUCCUUGGCAUAACACAGGUGGUGGCAAUGAGGCAGCAGGAAAGGCCUUUAAGUGAAUGAGGGGCCCAAGGGUGGGCUCUGACUCCUGCCUGGGGUUUGGGCUUUGCUUUUCCAUCUCAGUGGGGCAUGGAAGUGUCCUUUCCCACUUUGCCUGGUAAAACCUGCAAGGACUUGAAGCCUUUUCCAGCUUGAUCCAGCCCAGAAACCAAGUGUAUCCUGGGCUGUGCCCAAAGCAGGGUGGGCAGCAGCUGAGGGAGGGGAUUCUGCCCCCCUGCUCUGCUCUGAGACCCCACCUGGAGUUCUGUGUCCAGCUCUGGGGCCCCCCAAGAUAAGAAGGACAUGGAAUGUUGGAGCAAGUCCAGAGAAGGCCAUGAAGUUGAUAAGAGGAUGGAGCACCUUCCCAGGUGGGACAGGCUGGGAAAACUGGGGCUGUUCAGCCUGGAGAAGAGAAGGUUGGGUGGAGACCUCACAGCACCUUCUGGGGUCUGAAGGGACCUGCAAGGAAACCAGAGAGGGAUUUAAUCAGGAACUGCAGGGACAGGACGAGGAGGAAUGGGUUCAAACUGAAAGAGGAGAGGUUCAGGUGAGAUAUUGGGAAGGAAUUCCUGGCUGGGAGGGUGGGGAGGGGCUGGGAUAGAAUUCCCAGAGAAGCUGUGGCUGCCCCUGGAUCCCUGGAAGUGUCCAAGGCCAGGUUGGAUGGGGCUUGGAGCAACCUGGGCUGGUGGAAGGUGUCCCUGCCCAUGGCAAGGGGUGGCACUGGGUGGGCUUUAAGGUCCUUUCCAACCCAAAGCAGUCUGGGAUUCCCUGAUUCCAUGAUUCCAUGACCCUUUGGGUGCAGCCCAACCCAGCAGCAGAUGGGACACUCGGGGACAGCCUGAGGGGCUGUUCCCAUAGGUGAGGCCAUGACAGUGAGUGCCACCACGGCCAUGCUGAAGGUUUUCCAAGCUCAUUCCAUGCCUGUCUCCUCCAUCACAACAGGAAUAUCAUCUCCCACUCCCUCCAGUGACCUGCUCAUCCAGCAGUGUGGAACACCAGGGCUGGGAGUUGCUUCUGCAUCACAAGAUCCUUCUGCCCCAGGAGAGUGAAGAUUCUGCUCAAAACACCUCUUUUUCCCAACAAUACCCAUGGGAAUUUCUGCAGGCUGGCUGAAAAUUGCAGGAUUGCAGAGAUACUGCCCUGCCCUGUUGCUUCUUCUCUCCCUGAAAUCCUCAGUGACUUCAGCAGUUCAGGGCUGGCCCAGAAACUCCAGCAUCUCUGGGAUCCUUCAGGAUGGAAGGCUCUCCACGUGGGUGUCAUUCCCAUGGGAUUCACGAGCAGAAAAACAGCAUCUGGAAGAUUCCCCCUCAUCCCAUGGGCAAGGCCUGGAAUGGAGGGGUCACUUCUUCCUGUGGAGCAGAGGUGAAUAUUCCUUGCAAAACAAAUGUAGCUCUUCAAACAAAACCCCCCAAAUACUGUCUUUUGUUAACUAAAAAGUGCUGAAAAACACUUCUGUGCUCAGCAACAAUGAGCUAAAAAGAUUUGAAGAGGUUGGGAAACGAACAAUUUCAACGCUUUCUCAUCCUUUUAGAUGAAGCCAAUCGUAACAAAAAAAAAAAGAAAUGGUAAUGAAUGCAUCCCGAGGGGGCCUCGGGCCUGACUGGCUGCAAAGCAUUGAGAUCCUGAUUCCCUCCUCUCCAGCUGAUUCCCUCCUCUCCAGCUGAUUCCCUCCUCUCCAGCUGAUUCCCUCAGCUCCACCUCGCCUUCCUUUGUGCCACUGGGGAGCCCUGGAGACCAAAUCCACCCUUGGGAGCCCUGGAGACCAAAUCCACCCUUCUGGAGCCAGAGGAGAAGCCCCUGUGCUGGUGAAGGCUUCCCCUGAAGGCUCUCCAGAGGCAGGAUUCCAGGACUGCUGUGAGGAGAAUCCACAGGACAGCUGGAGCAGAGGGACAGAGCAGGCUGUGCUGGGGUUUGGCUGAUGCUCAGAGAUUCCCAAUUCCAACUGGCUGUUAAACCCUCCAGCACAGACACUCCUGCUGCUGCAAGCCCGGGGGCUGGGCACAAAUUCCAGGGGGAGGUGGAGAGGGAAAGCAGAAGGAGUUGUCACCCUCCUGUGCUGUGUGUGAGGGUGGCACUCAGUGACCUCAGAGGUCUCUCCCAACCCAAAUGGCUCCAUGACCAGAUGUCUAAGUGGGGUGGGAUUAGUUAAUCCUGGUUUGCUAAGCCUAUAGUCAGGAUUUAGCACGAGGUGAUAUAGGGAAUAAUGUGUAAUUACUGUUCCAGAUGGACUGUGAUAAGAGCAGUAAUUAAGGAGGGAUGAGUAGCUUUGUGUAUCAGCAGAGAAUUAAGGGUGUUAAACAGAGGUUUGAAGAUCAGGAGAUGCAGAGAGGAGAUAGGUCCAACUGUCAGAAGAAAUUCCCUGCUAGUAAGGUGCCAAUAAACAUAUUUUUAACCUUAUUUAGUAGGAAAAGAUCAUAUGACCAGAUAGAAUUACAGAUGUAGGCUAAGAUAUUUUAUAGCAGUGAUUAAAAUUAAUUAAAAUAAUUCCCAUCUGUUCCUGCAAAGACUGAUCUUGACAAAUGUGGGAAGGCCAGGGCUGACCCCCAGUGCUGGGGACAUUCCAGCUGUGCUGAUCCCUGGCUAUCCUGGCUCCCUCAACAGAAUCCCAGGAUCCCAAGGGUUGGAAAAGCCCUCCAGGAUCCUCCAGUCCCACCAUUCCCCAGCACCACCAGGAUCACCCCUAAUCCAUCCAAUCCAUCCCCAAGGGCCACAUCCAGACACCUGGGGGACAUUUCCAGGGAAGUUGCUGAAGAAACAGGAUCUCUCCCACAGGAUUUAGGGACUGAAGGCAGGAGCAGCCAAGGAAAACUCCCAUCCCUGCCCCUGCUCGGGCCCAUCCCAGGGAAGAGCAGCCUUUGGAAGGAGCCCAAGCUCCAGGAGCAGAGGGCAUGGCUGGAAUUUGGGCCCAGGCUGAUCUCCCCGGGAGCCUCUGCUGGUUCCAGGCAGCAGGAAUUCCAAGCUGUGCCUUUCCUGGCUCAGGAAAGGGCUCCCUGUGCAAGGAAGGGCUUACCCAGCACGGGACUUUAAGCUUGGGCCUAAAGCCAAACCCACGGUGAGGGGCUUUACUGGGGCACUGAGGGAGGGGAAAGAACAGCAGGAAAAGCUCCAGGAACCUUGGAGGACGUUGCCUUCAUUUCAAAAGGGUGUUUUUGGCCUAAAACAAACCUUCAAACCUCAGGGAUCUGCCCUGAGAAUGAACAGAUGCCCCAGGCCUGGACAACCCGGGGUGCUCGGGGAGUUUUGGGACUUCCAAAAUAUGGACAAAAAGAUGAUUCCAUGAAGUGUCUGCCCAGAGAGGUUGAGGACUCACCAUCCCUGGAAGUGUCCAAGGCCAGGUUGGAGCAACCUGGGAUAGUGGGAGGUGUCCCUGCCCAUGGCAGGGGGUGGCACAGGAUGAGCUUUAAGGUCCCUCCCAACCCAAACCAGUCUGACCAGGUCAUAUAAAAUAAAUUAGAUGCAACCUCAUAAUUCUGAUCACUUCUUUCUCUCUGUUGGUUUGUGUCUGUC